AUAAGCGUCUUACAAAAGAGAAGUAACAUAAUGAAUCCUUUUUCAGAGAGCUGAUGGUGCUGCGAAUCAGUAAGGAGAAUUAUGCGAAUGGACUUUUGGACGAAGUUUUGAACGUAUAGUAGGAACUUCCGGGAACUCCCGAUAUAGAGUAAGGUCGUUGUUAGACGACUGAUUGAGAAAUGCCUUGUUUGGCAUAUCCUUGAGGUGGCACCGUGGAUUAUCCGCCCUCAGA
rnacentral:ncRNA from 1 species